ACGUAGGGGGCAAGCGUUAUCCGGAAUUAUUGGGCGUAAAGAGUGCGUAGGUGGUUUUUUAAGCGUGAGGUGAAAGGCAAUAGCUUAACUAUUGUAAGCCUUGCGAACUGGAAGACUUGAGUGCAGGAGAGGAAAGUGGAAUUCCUAGUGUGUCGGUGACAGGCGUAGAUCUUAGGAGGAGCACCAGAGGCGUGGGCGACAAUCUGGAUUAUAACCGACACUGAGGCACGAUAGCGUGGCUAACAAACAG
rnacentral:rRNA from 1 species